rnacentral:rRNA from 1 species
GACGAACGCUGGCGGCGUGCUUAACACAUGCAAGUCGAACGGAAAGGCCCUGCUUUUGUGGGGUGCUCGAGUGGCGAACGGGUGAGUAACACGUGAGUAACCUGCCCUUGACUUUGGGAUAACUUCAGGAAACUGGGGCUAAUACCGGAUAGGAGCUCCUGCUGCAUGGUGGGGGUUGGAAAGUUUCGGCGGUUGGGGAUGGACUCGCGGCUUAUCAGCUUGUUGGUGGGGUAGUGGCUUACCAAGGCUUUGACGGGUAGCCGGCCUGAGAGGGUGACCGGCCACAUUGGGACUGAGAUACGGCCCAGACUCCUACGGGAGGCAGCAGUGGGGAAUAUUGCACAAUGGGCGGAAGCCUGAUGCAGCAACGCCGCGUGCGGGAUGACGGCCGUCGGGUUGUAAACCGCUUUCGCCUGUGACGAAGCGUGAGUGACGGUAAUGUGUAAAGAAGCACCGGCUAACUACGUG